AGUGAACGCUGGCGGUAGGCCUAACACAUGCAAGUCGAACGGCAGCACAGUAAGAGCUUGCUCUUAGGGGCGUCACGUGGGGGAAGGUGCAGUAAUACUCGGGAUUCUACUUUUUCGGGGGUGAUAACGCCGGAAAAUUUCCUCUAAUCCACCAUUCAACCUCCGGGGAAAGGCCGGGGUUCUUCUACCUUGGUGGUAUUGAAUGAGCCGAGCUCGGAUGAGCUAGUUGGCGGGUUAAAGGCCACCAAAGGCGACGAUCCGUAGCUGGUCUGAGAGGAGGAUUAGCCACAUUGGCACUGAGAAACGGUCCAGACUCCGACGGGAGGCCGCAGUGGGGAAUAUUGGACAAUGGGGGAAAGCCUGAUCCAGCCAUACCGCGUGGGUGAAGAAGGACUUCGGGUUGUAAAGCCCUUUUGUUGGGAAAGAAAAGCAGCAGGUUAAUACCCCGCUGUUAUGACGGUACCCAAAGAAUAAGCACCGGCUAACUUCGUG
rnacentral:rRNA from 1 species